UGGUCCUGCCUCCCAGUCUGAAGGAGAACAUCCUGGACUUUGGCGUUCGGAGUGCAACAGACACCAGCAGCAUCACGUUUGUGGUGGUCAACAGUAACCCCAUCGAGCUGGAGAUCAAGUCCUGGCUGGUCACGGGGGACAGUCUGUCCAUGGAGCUGCUGAAGACGGAGAAAGGAAACACAACAGUGGCGCUGAGUCGCCUGCGAGAGCUGCAGAACACGUCAGCCUCCCACCAUAAAACAGUGAUACUAGCAUCUGGCUAUUAUGCAGCAUUCAGAGUGACACUCGUGGCCAAAGCGCUGGAGGGCCUGUAUGAUGGAGCCAUACACAUAACCACAGACUACGAGAUAUUAACCAUCCCAGUGAA